UAAUUACCACCGAGCGGCGGGUA
rnacentral:sRNA from 1 species